AAAACACAGUUCAUUUAUUUUCUGUAAUACACACUUAAAUCCAAAUGACAUUCUUAAAACAUAUUUAAAACUCACCGAGAAUCUCUAUCUUAAACAUUUCCCAAAGACAAACUGUUUACAAUGCACUAAUCAUUUCUCAAACAUAAAGGAUUAAGGAUUUUCACAACACAGGUACAAUCCCUAUAAACUAAAAAGACAUUCCAAAGAUGCAGACAAGCAAGUUGUAAGUCGCAAAAACCAAAGAUGGAGGAAUGGAUUCUAGUUCUUCCGAGCUUCUUGAUGUUACUUAUCCCAUUCCCAAUAAGCCUGACUGUUGUCUACAAAUUAUGCCCUUCCAGCCACUUGAGUGACUUCAGAAGGAUGAUGUUUCCUCAGACAUCCUUUAAACACAAACACUCUAAAAGCAUUUCGGGGGACAUAAAUCUAAGCUAGUUACCAUUAAUGCUGUCAAGCUAACUUCUGAAUACAUAAAACUCUUCCAACCAUAAACACAUCACUUACUGAUAAGCCAAAAUAUAUUAUCCAUCUGGUUCUGCAAGCUACUUUGAACUAAGCAGCUUAAUAGUCAGCUUGUCUAUUUGAAACAACCCAUUGUUUUAUAGUCUACUUUUAAGUAGUAAUAAAGCAGGUCCAAUGAUUCUUUACAGACAGAACUGCAUUGUCAAAAUAUAGAGCCUAUUUGCAAAGCUGUUCUAUAUAGUGUUUUGUAUUCACAUUUUUUUGUAAUUUAUUUUUUUAUUGAAGUUCAUCAUCAAACAUUUCCAUAAGAUGUGUUUCAGACAUUGUACCGAGAUAUCAUAUAAUUAUACAUAUCACAAAUCUCCACAAAGUAUUUAUCUAAAGUACACACUUAUAGAAAAGAGUGGAGAGAAAAAACAAGCAAAAGGGAAGAACUAUGUACAAGUAGGGAGUGAUCUUUUGUUUUUACAAUAGAUUCAUUGAUUUGUGAGAAUAAUUUCAGGCCUAUGAGGCAUUAUUUAGUUAAACCAUUUUUCCCAGUAUGAAUCAAAUUGUUCCAAAUUGGAUAAAAUUCUCUAACGUUUGAUUGGAUUUAAUAGCCCAUUGACAUUAAAAGAAAUGAAUUUUACCUUGUCCUUAGCCAUCUGUAUGUAUCUGUCAAUGUACCAUUGAAAUUAGAAUAAAACUUAAUCGAUCUACUCCCUGAACAAAUACGAACCAAGAAACACAGAUAAUAACAAAAAUGGCAACGAACGUGUGAUUCCAAGGCUGAGGUCACUAGUAGAUGACCCUGCGUUGAGCUAGAGGAAAUGUCUAGCUGUGGGGGAUAACCCCUCCUACUUGUGUGAGUUGAGGGCCUCCAUUGCAGUAUUCAUAAAAGUCAGUGAACAAAUCCAUUACAUAGAAAAGAUUUCCCUGUGUACUCCUCCUAUAUAUAUAUAUAUUUAUAUAUAUAUAUAUAUAUAUUCUCAUUUUGGUGGGGAAAAAGGAGUAAGUGAGCGAAUAAAGAAUAACAACUAAGUAAUAUAAAAUCCACAUUAUAAUAAGUAUUUCUCGAGAUAGGUAUAUCACCAUGUACUUUUGCUUUCAUUUAGCUUCUCAACAUUUUUAAAGUUAGCUAAACCUUAUGGCUCUUCUGAAGGGGGUGAGGACCGUCUUUGGGAAACUCCUGGUCUCUUCCUGAUAUAUUUCACUCGGCCUCCUCCCGUCCCCUGCCUUCUCGAUUCUCCCACUAUUUCCCAAGCGGAGCGGAACAGUUCCUCAGUCAGGCUUUCCCUCAUUUUGGUGACACUGACGGGCAACCCUCUGGCCUUCAUGUCUGUAGUCGCCUCUUCCACCGUCUGGUACAACUGUGUCCCGUUGUCAUAAAACACUCGAAGUUUAGCAGGGCCCUUUGUAGAAUCUGCGUCUUGGUGCUGUACCGAAGGAAUUUAACUAUUAUAGAGCGUGGUUUUCUGUCCUGGGCAGGUUUUGGAACCAGUCCUCUCGAUUUCCAGCUCCAUAGUUGAGGGAAGAUCCAGCGCGUUCUCGACAAACUCCGUCGUAGACGAGCCCUCCGCUCCUUCGGGAACGUUGUAGAUUCUGGUAUUUUUCUGCCGUGAUCUUCUCUCCAGAUCAAGCAGUUGACGUUCUUGGUGAUGUAUUAUUUUUAUUGUCUUGCUCAGUAUCCGUUCCACAUUUUGAACUUCUCGAUUCGAGUCUCUGCCACCGCUAUUUUUUGAUUAACACUGGUGAGCUCUGCCUUAAUAUCCUGGAGCUGCUGCUUUAUUUCUUUCUAGACCUCCAUUAUCUCUUUCAGGAUUUCAAACAUAUUCGCCGCUUCAACUGAACGAGGCCCGGCGGCCACCUCGCUAGCACGACACUGCGGAGCUUGCGUCCGAGAGGCGUGCAUUCACAUUUUUACAACUGAAGACUGACUUGCGUUUACAACCAGAAGUUAAACAAAGCAAUAUAGUUGAAAGUUUAUUUACAACUGUUUGUGACCUUUCAAAUGACAGCUGCUGUUCAGAAAGCAAGCUUAGCAAACAUGAGAUAGAAGCAAAUAUCUCAUAUCUUUCCUUUGGACACGACCUUUUUUUAUUUUAUUCAUAAAAGCUGUUUAGUUUUACUUUUAUGAGACCUUUACUCUCCCCUUGUUAAUGACAAAUAUCUUUCCCUUGUAUUGUUACUUAGUUAGAAAUGAUUAUUUAGAAUUCCAUUGGAACAUAUUUAAAACUUUCUUCACUGUUCAAGUUGGACAUUUUCCUGCUGUACAUCUGAUUUUCAGACAUUUUAAUUUUUAUGAUGGGAUUUUCAUUCUGUGCUGAUUCAAUCACUAAUAAGAUUCACAUUUGAAUUGGGUUUGUCUGCAUUGUUAUAGGAUAUAUAUUUUCAGAAAAUCAAUAUAAACUAAUUAAGUAUUGCAGUCUUUUCCAAACAACUAAAGCAUGAGGUCAUUUUCUUUGUAAAUGCCCAUCCAGUUUGGCAGACUUUUAACUCUGAGGAUCAUUAGCUACUGUCAAGUUCCAUUGUUGUCAUAACUAAAAGAGGUCAUUGGUAGCGAUCAGGGCCAAUUUCACAGUUUACUGCAGAGGGAUGGACAGAACCAAUCUGAGCUUUUCUUUCAGUCAUCUAAUACAGUUUAAUAUAAUCUAAUAAAGCAGAACAGGGGUUCCCAACCUUUUCUAUGCCAUGGACCAAUACCUUUAAUCAAGGGGUCAGUGAACACCAGGUUGUCAUUGUCCGCGCUUUGGAGGAUAAAAAUUCAAAGUUCAAAAUAAAUUUAUUAUCAAAGUACAUAUAUGUCAGCAGGAUUUAAAUAUCUCCUUAUCUGAGGAGAGCUGGGAUUCAGUUCUCAAAUCGGUUAACUCAACCUCUCUUUGUGCUCGCCACUGCCUUUUACAGUUUAAGAUUGUUCAUAGAGCCCAUUUGUCUAAAUCUAAACUAUCACGAUUCUACCCUAGUGUUAGUCCGCUCUGUGAUAAAUGCAAGAGGGGCGUGGCCUCUCUCAUCCAUAUGUACUGGUUCUGUCCUAGCUUGGAGAAAUUCUGGAAAGAUGUCUUCACUACGUUAUCGUGUAUUCUGAAUCAGCACCUAGAACCAAACCCCUUAAUUGCUCUGUUCGGUUUUUGGGGCGAGACAGAUUUAUGUCUGGGUCCGACCAAAUGCCGAAUAUUAUCCUUUGCCCCUCUCCUGGCUAGACGCUUGAUCCUCCUCAGAUGGAGAGAUGUUGCCCCGCCCACUCAUGCUCAAUGGCUUAACGACAUCAUGGCCUGUUUGGACCUCGAAAAAAUUCAUUAUUCAGUUCUCAAUUUGGAUCUAAAGUUCCAUAAGGUCUGGGGACCUUUUAUCAAGUACUUUCAUAUCCUUCCUCUUGACUAGGGUUUUUUUUUCUUUUCAGUCCCUUGCUUUCAGCUCCCUUUUUUUCUGGUAGAAGGCAUUAUUACCCUCUGUUCCUGAGUGUAUUCACAGUCUGGGAGUUUGGCUGUCCUGACUUAUACUCUCUAUAUUGUGUUGUGGUUGGUCUGGAGUUGCUGUUGUUUUUUCUUGUGUUGUGGGGCUUGGGGAGGACACUAAGCUUACUUGUCUUUAAUUCAGGUGCUUUUUUUUUGCUAAAUUCUCUUCCUUUGUAGUAUAUUGUUAUUGUAUGUUUAAUUUUGCACUGUUUUAAUGUUCCUCAUUGGGAUUUGGGGUUUUUAAUUUGUAAAAUGUUUUGAAAAACUAUUAAAAUUUUUUUUUUAAAAAGUA